rnacentral:rRNA from 1 species
UCCGGCCGGGAACUCAAAGGAGACUGCCAGUGAUAAACUGGAGGAAGGUGGGGAUGACGUCAAGUCAUCAUGGCCCUUACGAGUAGGGCUACACACGUGCUACAAUGGCAUAUACAAAGAGAAGCGACCUCGCGAGAGCAAGCGGACCUCAUAAAGUAUGUCGUAGUCCGGAUUGGAGUCUGCAACUCGACUCCAUGAAGUCGGAAUCGCUAGUAAUCGUGGAUCAGAAUGCCACGGUGAAUACGUUCCCGGGCCUUGUACACACCGCCCGUCACACCAUGGGAGUGGGUUGCAAAAGAAGUAGGUAGCUUAACCUUCGGGAGGGCGCUUACCACUUUGUGAUUCAUGACUGGGGUGAAGUCGUAACAAGGUAACCGUAGGGGAACCUGCGGUUGGA